AGACCGGACAACAAGAGGAAACGGUUUUUUCCAGAGCUGAGCUGGCUUCAUUUGCAUAUGAUUCGGGGCAAGGGGUUCCGCUGAACCCCAAGACAAUCUAGGGCUUGUGAUUACUGUGCCGUAUGCAGUGCCUAACACUGGCUGGAAAAGAAGUGUAAUUCUAUCAUAGGAAAUCCACUUCAAGUAAUGGAAGAGACUCAUUUUUCCAUAAGAAAACGUUUGAUCAAGAGCUGAGUAUUCAUCAGGGAUGCAGUUGAAUUUCAAUUCCAAAGCUGUCACCGUAAUAUUCCGGAGCCUUGCAGCCCCAAGUGGACACGUACAUUUAUAGAUCUUGCUGGGGAUUUUGCAAACCACAAUGGUAGUAAUGGACGACGCUCGCGGGAAGUCAUAAAGGAGCUCAGUGUGGUCACGGCCCAGGUGGGAUGUAGUACCACAGAAACGCUAAUGCCCAUCUUGGGAAAGUGGACCCCAUGUGCCAGCAGGGCAGCCGGUGACGGGAAUCCAGGCCAGCAACCGGGACACGCGGACAGGAGACGGCUUCAGUGCAAAUAUAUGACACAUACUAUCUUCAGCUCGGAGUCGUGGGGGAUCGCAGGCGGCCGCCUGGCCCACGCUCUGGAAGACCGUGGAGCAUGUGCACCUCGGAGGGGAAGCGCCUGGGCUGUGCCUGUCACCCACCCCACGGGGACAGAAAUCAAACAGAAGAGAACCACCGGAUGAGAUUUACGGUAACAGAAAUCACUGCUCGCUAACUUUUAAGUUAGGCUCUGGAAUACAAAACACAGUUCUGAU